CUACGCACUCCUACGGGAGGCAGCAGUGGGGAAUAUUGCACAAUGGGCGCAAGCCUGAUGCAGCCAUGCCGCGUGUAUGAAGAAGGCCUUCGGGUUGUAAAGUACUUUCAGCAGUGAGGAAGGUGGGUAUGUUAAUAGCAUACUCAUUUGACGUUAGCUGCAGAAGAAGCACCGGCUAACUCCCGUGCCAGCAGCCGCGGUAAUACGGAGGGUGCGAGCGUUAAUCGGAAUUACUGGGCGUAAAGCGCAUGCAGGUGGUUUGUUAAGUCAGAUGUGAAAGCCCGGGGCUCAACCUCGGAAUUGCAUUUGAAACUGGCAAACUAGAGUACUGUAGAGGGGGUAGAAUUUCAGGUGUAGCGGUGAAAUGCGUAGAGAUCUGAAGGAAUACCGGUGGCGAAGGCGGCCCCCUGGACAGAUACUGACACUCAGAUGCGAAAGCGUGGGGAGCAAACAGGAUUAGAUACCCUGGUAG
rnacentral:rRNA from 1 species